rnacentral:rRNA from 1 species
GACGAACGCUGGCGGCGUGCUUAACACAUGCAAGUCGAACGGAAAGGCCCUGCUUGUGUGGGGUGCUCGAGUGGCGAACGGGUGAGUAACACGUGAGUAACCUGCCCUUGACUUUGGGAUAACUUCAGGAAACUGGGGCUAAUACCGGAUAGGAGCUCCUGCUGCAUUGUGGGGGUGGGAAAGUUUGGGCGGUUGGGGUUGGACGCGCGGCUUAUCACCUUGUUGGUGGGCAGUGGCUUACCACGGCUUUGCCGGGUUCCCGGCCUGGGAGGGGGGCCGGCCACCUUGGUACUGAGAUACGGCCCAGACUCCUACGGGAGGCAGCAGUGGGGAAUAUUGCACAAUGGGCGGAAGCCUGAUGCAGCAACGCCGCGUGCGGGAUGACGGCCUUCGGGUUGUAAACCGCUUUCGCCUGUGACGAAGCGUGAGUGACGGUAAUGGGUAAAGAAGCACCGGCUAACUACGUG